rnacentral:rRNA from 1 species
AAGCUCGUAGUUGAAUUUCGGGAUCGACGGGUCGGUCGCGCCUCUGGUGUGUACUGGCCCUGUCGGUUUCUCCCUUCUGACGAACCACGAUGUCAUUAAUUUGGUGUCGUGGGGAAUCAGGACUGUUACUUUGAAAAAAUUAGAGUGUUUAAAGCAAGCAUUCACUUGAAUACAUUAGCAUGGAAUAAUGAAAUAGGACGUUUGAUCUUAUUUUGUUGGUUUCUAAGAUCGACGUAAUGAUUAAUAGGGAUAGUUGGG